UCACAUCAUCACAAGAAGAAGGACCAGAUACAACAUAGAAAGUCACCGCAGGAUGCAGAACGUGUUCUUAGUGUACCUAACCGAAAGUCAUUCUGCAUGCCUGCAAGGGUGUCAACCGGAGCAGUUCAACAAAGAGGAAGCCUAUUUAUUAAUGACCCCAACACCGAACCUCACUGGAAGGAGCUAAGUAAUCUUUAACUAAAUUACAUAUGAACUUUUAAUUGAUCUGAAAGCACAUGCUGAGUAUCCACAGUGAGUCAGCUUGUGUGUGGCCAAAACAAACUCAUAGAAGCAGGGAAAGGAGAGGUAAGACUCACUUCCUGGACACCAGUAGAGCUUCCCAUUCCACUGAGAAGGAAGGAGGGAGGAAGAAGCCCUGGUGAGUAGCCUGUGGACCUGGAACCCACAGAUCGUUCGUCCUGCAGACAUUGUGAAGCAUGCACUACAUGCCAGGUGCUGCGCCAGGUGUUGGGGCCGCGAUGCUAACUAAAUAAGACAGACCAGGUUCCUGCUGGCUUGGGGAAAGACAGAAAAUGGGCAACUAAACAAGAAAAAAUUCAGAUGCCGAUCAUUAUAAGAAAUUUUAAAUAGAGUAAUUUGAUAGAAUUGAGUUGUGUCUGGAUUUGAGGCCAGGGAAGACCUCUCUGAAGAGGAGACAGCUAAGCCCAAAAGAUUGAAGGAUCCAGCCAUGGGAAACUCAUGGAGAGAGCAUUCCUAGCAGAGGACGCAGUUAGUGCAAAGGUCCUGAGGCAGGGAAAAACUUGGCAGCUUCUGAGAAUAAAAAGAAAGUCUAUCUCCUACCUCCAAAAAAUGCUCAAUGAUCAUGUACUAUUUUAUAAUGAGAAAAAAUACUAUUUUGAAAAAAAAUUCAUAUCCUUUAACACUUGUGGGCAUUAACAUUUUGUGUAUAUGGGCAUUAAUCUUUUUUUUUCCCACACACAUAUACUUUAUUAGUUUCCUCUACAAGAGACAAUAACAUCAAUCUUUUAGAACAGAAAUCUCAGGUCAUUUGAGAGGCUAAACAGAUCCAAGGAAGGAAGAUGAAAAUUAAAUACCUAAAUGAAUCCAAAGGCACUACUAUUAUUACCUAAAAGCUACUGCUGCAGUGGUGGUAGGCUAAGGAAGAUUAAGCUACAGCAAAUCAUCUAAUGUGAAUGUUAGCAAUUACAUAGCAGGAAGCAAGUUUGCUUUCCAGAAGACUAUGGUACAAUGAUCAUUUGAGCCCAAGAGGAUAUUUGGCCAGGAAAAGGUGGAGAUGGAUGAAGGUAAGCCAAUGGAAAGGAAUAGGUACAAAGAAUCAGAGUUACAGAGUCAAGCAGAUGAUGAUGGAUCAGGCUUCUUUCUCCCAAGAAACAUUUGCUGCACCAAGUGUUGCCCCCCAUGCCCCUCCCACCUCCCCAUCCCCCAUCCCCCAACUCCACCAAAUGGCUGUUCAAGCUGAGCUGCCUGCUCCUGCCUUAUUGGGUGCUCAGCUACCAGGACUAGGUUUAAGGCAGCCCAGAACUCUUGCUGAAAUUUAGCAUAGAUCUUGGAGACCUUGUCUCACAUGGGUUGU